GGGGGUCACCCUCCUCAGAUGUUUUGCUGUUGGUAUUUUUUGCUCAGUGCAGCUUUGCUCGACCAUGUUCUCCAUUUUUGUAGAAUAAAAUUUACCUUAUUAGCUUCUGAGGUCAAGAACGCAUUCAAUUGUCAGUUUACGAUGAAAGCGCCCUCUGCUGGAUCAUACAUUGUCACUUCAGGUGGCCUAAAGUGCUGGUUUACUGUAUUAUUAUGAGUCUGAACGAGUCAUUACAGUUACGAUAAUGAACCCUUUUCUCUAGGGUUUGAACUUCAGAUAGAGUGACAGUCCUUGUCCAAGAUCAUAGAACACAAACCUCAGUAUUCUGACUGUCUGUGGUCAUUUGAGAGAGAUGGAGAAGGAGAGAAAUCAGGUAAUAUUUUAAGUAAAAAAAAAACCAUUUUGCAGUACUGUGAUAACACAUAAUAAUGAGAUACGAGUUUCUGAGCUGGAGCCGGAAAUGUGUUUGAGAACAGUUUUAAAAACACACAGAUUUUUGACGUUCGUUAAUCAUGAUAACCAUCAAAUGAAGAUGCACACCCUGACCCCAUUACUCUCCUGUGACAGUCACAUUAGAUGUGAUCCACAAAACUAAUCCAUCAGACUAUAUGUAAAGGUAGCUCCAGGCCCUGAUAUCAAUGGUACUUCUCACUGGUUGUCUCUAAAGGGAGCAGAUAUGACGCUCCUGUGUUAAUUCAGUGAGAGGAGGAAAGGUCCUUUGGGGGGGCAGGGUCGGGGUUUCCUUCCUGAACGUCAACAGGAGUGAGAAGUACUUUAGUGCGGGGAUCAAACACUUUAACAAGGCAGUAAACAGAUUUUACAUUCUCUCCAACAAUACAGCCGGCAGACAGAGGAGGAAGAGGAGGCACAUUCACGUCUGAUUUCCUCACUCACUUUACAACCUUACCCGUCUCCUGCUGUCUGAGGGAGACUGUAGCAACCUCAGAUCUUUUCCCCAACCUUAUCUGUUCUCUUUGUGUUCAACUCAACUUUGUAUUACUUGACGAAAUUUUAAUGUAGUUUUGUUGGCUGAAAAAAUCAUUUUUAAUGUUUAUUUUUUAACCUUUAUUUAACUAGAAAACACCACAUUAAGAUAAGAAAAAAGAAUCUCUUUUCCAAGUGUGUCCUGGCCAAGACAGGUGGCAGCACAGUUACCAAGACACUGACAGACAAAUUUACAGACAUUCACAAUGGAGAAACAUUAGGUAAAAAAAACACAAUCCAAACAUUAGUCAAUCACAAUCUAAUCCAAUCCAAUCCAAUCGUUAAGACCAUGGUCAUUUAGAUGGAACAUCUGCAGACAGUUGAGGCCGCCUCAAGCCAUGAGCAUUUUUUGAAAAACAUUCAAAGAUACCAAGUCUUUAAGUUUCAGACUUUACUGAAGUUGGUUGUAGGUUAAAGGGCCGGCAAACAUAAACCGGCCCUUUAAUUUUAUAGUUUGACUAAGAUCCAUCCCUUGAACAUGAAGAAGGCGAAGUUUAUGACCUAUUCUCCAUUUGGCCAGUAGGGGGAGCUCUAAAUCUUUUUGCUUAACAGUCAGUAAACUGGAAACUGAUCGGUACAAAGAAAAUAACAAAAGGAGAACAUAAAACUUCUGUAUGAAGACAGUAAAAAGGUGAUUCCCAUACAGGCUGAAGGAGGCGAAUUAGUGAUCGACUGGAAAUGUGCCCCACGGGCAGCACUUCAAAAAUAAAUCUUUUCUCUGUCACCCAUAAGGUACAAGAUGAUACAAUAGCCAAAGACAUUUGGUGACGUUAUAGUUUGAGAACAAAAUAAGUGUAAAUGUUGCUGUAGACCCCAGUCAGGAGUUUUGGUACCUUUGAUAUGUAGGAUCACAACAUUUUUAAAUAUAUACCAAGCUUUUAUUUUGAAAAGCAUCUGAAAUAAACCAUCACAGAGAAGGCUGAAUGGGUCUGACAAAAGUUGCUCUUCAGUUGCUUGAUGGUGGCUGUGAGAUCUGAUCUCAGACCUGUACUGAAAACUAAAGCUAGUCCUUUUAGAGACCCAACCGUUAAAAGUAGUAAAACUAAAUCAGUGUCUUUUCCUUUGUUAAUUUCAGCCUCAGAUAAAUGUAUAUGUGACGAAUGAUGACGUAUAAUCUGCUCACUUGCUCCUGUUGAAGUCUCCACAGUGAGGGACAGACAGAAAGUGAUGUCAGUGGACAAACAGAGAGUGACCUCCUGCUGAACCUGGAGCCUGACACUCUGACCUCCUCCUGCUGAGAAAUGCUCCUCAAACUACAUGUCCCACAAGUCAAGACAAACGGUAACCAUAAACAGGGAUGAUUCAUGUCAGCUCACCUGGCUGCAGUUUUUCUCCACACACACAGAAAGUUAAUACUGAAGGAGACCAAGAUCGGUAUCGGGUACUUUCAAGAGGCGUUUUGUAUUAUAUUAUUAAUAUUUUUACUUUUAUUUUUAUUCUUAUUUCUAUCUUUUAGAUUUUAUAUUGUAUUUUUAUCUCUCAACCCUGCAUGCCUCUGAGUUUUCAUCCUUGUCAUGUUGCUGGAAAUGUGUGUUUCUCAUGGAAUAAAUAAGAGGAAUAAAGUAUCUCUCUAUCGAACAGACUAGUUAAAGAAUUAAGUAUAAUGUUCAGUAUAAGUGUCAAAUAUGAAAAUAAAAAAAACUUUAGUCCAAACUUUUUGACCUUCUAUCUUUGAUAACUGGCAGGAACAAUGUGCCAUCUGUAGAGUUUGUAAAUCGACACUGUUUUUACCUUUUAUGUCAAAUUAAAAAUAAUCAGUGUUCAAACAGACAAAUCAGCUGUUUAUUUUUAAAUGAGCCUCUAUAUCUCCUCCUCCGCUCUCUCCCUCUCUUUAUCUCUCUCUUUCCCUCUCCCCCUCCCUCCCUCUCUCUCUCUCUCGCUCUCUCUCUCUCUGGUGAACUUGGUUGCACACGAGGGUUCACCGGGAUGUCAGGGUCACAUGCAGGUCAGCCAGCGCGCGAGCUGCAGGAGGAGGAGAGAUACAAACACGCGCCGCAGGACUUGUGCUGACUGUGCUCUCUCUCUCUCUCUCUUUCAGUGUGUGUGUGUGUGUGUGUGUGUGUGUGUGUAGUAACUCUGAGCACAUAAACAGAUGUGUGAAAUAAUCAUGUGUAUCAGCUCCUUAAGGUUGUUUCAUAGCAGUACGGAUGGAAAUGAUUUAGUAUUUUUAUGAGGUUGUAUUUCACAGAAGUUAACUUUUGUCAUUUUUUAAUCCCUUACUGUCACUUAACUUCAAUUCAGCUAAACUCCUCGAACAAUCAAGAAUAGGCAGUAUUAAAGUGGAGGCUUCAGACCACCUUAGGGGACAAUAAAUAAUUAAAGGCACAGUAAGGAGGUUUUUAUAGAUUGAGAAACAUACUAGUGUUGUCCCAUUCCUCCACACUCACCUGAGUUUGCUUGGUUACACACACUUUGGUGAUGUUUUGCCAUGUGACAGGAGUAUUUGCUUUAGUGUGUCAGCACCAA
rnacentral:lncRNA from 1 species